CGAAUGCUGACAUAAGUAACGAUAAAGCGGGUGAAAAGCCCGCUCGCCGGAAGACCAAGGGUUCCUGUCCAACGUUAAUCGGGGCAGGGUGAGUCGACCCCUAAGGCGAGGCCGAAAGGCGUAGUCGAUGGGAAACAGGUUAAUAUUCCUGUACUUGGUGUUACUGCGAAGGGGGGACGGAGAAGGCUAUGUUGGCCGGGCGACGGUUGUCCCGGUUUAAGCGUGUAGGCUGGUUUUCCAGGCAAAUCCGGAAAAUCAAGGCUGAGGCGUGAUGACGAGGCACUACGGUGCUGAAGCAACAAAUGCCCUGCUUCCAGGAAAAGCCUCUAAGCAUCAGGUAACAUCAAAUCGUACCCCAAACCGACACAGGUGGUCAGGUAGAGAAUACCAAGGCGCUUGAGAGAACUCGGGUGAAGGAACUAGGCAAAAUGGUGCCGUAACUUCGGGAGAAGGCACGCUGAUAUGUAGGUGAAGUCCCUCGCGGAUGGAGCUGAAAUCAGUCGAAGAUACCAGCUGGCUGCAACUGUUUAUUAAAAACACAGCACUGUGCAAACACGAAAGUGGACGUAUACGGUGUGACGCCUGCCCGGUGCCGGAAGGUUAAUUGAUGGGGUCAGCGCAAGCGAAGCUCUUGAUCGAAGCCCCGGUAAACGGCGGCCGUAACUAUAACGGUCCUAAGGUAGCGAAAUUCCUUGUCGGGUAAGUUCCGACCUGCACGAAUGGCGUAAUGAUGGCCAGGCUGUCUCCACCCGAGACUCAGUGAAAUUGAACUCGCUGUGAAGAUGCAGUGUACCCGCGGCAAGACGGAAAGACCCCGUGAACCUUUACUAUAGCUUGACACUGAACAUUGAGCCUUGAUGUGUAGGAUAGGUGGGAGGCUUUGAAGUGUGGACGCCAGUCUGCAUGGAGCCGACCUUGAAAUACCACCCUUUAAUGUUUGAUGUUCUAACGUUGACCCGUGAUCCGGGUUGCGGACAGUGUCUGGUGGGUAGUUUGACUGGGGCGGUCUCCUCCUAAAGAGUAACGGAGGAGCACGAAGGUUGGCUAAUCCUGGUCGGACAUCAGGAGGUUAGUGCAAUGGCAUAAGCCAGCUUGACUGCGAGCGUGACGGCGCGAGCAGGUGCGAAAGCAGGUCAUAGUGAUCCGGUGGUUCUGAAUGGAAGGGCCAUCGCUCAACGGAUAAAAGGUACUCCGGGGAUAACAGGCUGAUACCGCCCAAGAGUUCAUAUCGACGGCGGUGUUUGGCACCUCGAUGUCGGCUCAUCACAUCCUGGGGCUGAAGUAGGUCCCAAGGGUAUGGCUGUUCGCCAUUUAAAGUGGUACGCGAGCUGGGUUUAGAACGUCGUGAGACAGUUCGGUCCCUAUCUGCCGUGGGC
rnacentral:rRNA from 1 species